CAUGAUGUUGAGUUUAGAGGAGAGAGUUGAGUUGUAGAGUGAGGUAGCAGAGUUAGGGCAAGUUAGAUUAGAGACGGGUAAAAGGAGUUAUUGAGUUUGUUGGAGAAAUGCUGGAGAUCAAGGCAGCUGAGUUUUCUGCAAGAUUGGAGAGUUGAGGGUGGUGACAUUUGGGUACGGGAUAUGCUGAUGUCAAAUGUUAGCAGAUGGUGGUCAG